rnacentral:rRNA from 1 species
UACGUAGGGGGCAAGCGUUGUCCGGAAUCAUUGGGCGUAAAGAGCGUGUAGGCGGCCCGAUAAGUCCGCUGUGAAAGUCCAGGGCUCAACCCUGGAAUGUCGAUGGAUACUGCCGGGCUAGAGUCCGGAAGAGGCGAGUGGAAUUCCUGGUGUAGCGGUGGAAUGCGCAGAUAUCAGGAGGAACACCAAUAGCGAAGGCAGCUCGCUGGGACGGUACUGACGCUAAGGCGCGAAAGCGUGGGGAGCGAACAGG